AAAGACAAACUUGUAACACCUGGCUCAGGUGACCAGAGAGACUGUGACACUCCACAAGACACCUAUUACAUAAAGUCAUUCUACCAAGACUGGGAAACAUAGUAGCUUUACCUAACACAUAGACAUAAACACAGGGUGACAGCCAACAUAAGGAGUCAGAGAAACAUGUCCCAAAAGAAAGAAUAGAACAAAACUCCAGAGAAAGAACUGAGCAAAGUGGAGACAAGCAAUCUACCAGAUGCAGAGUUCAAAUCACUGGUCAUUAUUAUGCACAAUGAUCUCAAGGAAACAGUAGGUG